UGGGAGGUUCCAGGGCCGCCGGGCUGCGGUUCCCGCCACUGCGCUGCUGACUGGUGACUUUCCCAGGCCGCCCCGCGCGGCGACUGCGGCUCCGGGGAGGUUUCAGGUCCCCGUGAGAUUCCAGCGGGGUCCUCAGCACCCAGGUCUGCACCACGUGGUUCCCCACGCUGCAAGCCCCGGAGCAACAACAGCUCCAACCAUCAGGCUGCCCUGGACCCGCUCUGCGCAACCUCCCCACAUGCUCGCUGCCAGCCUAGACCAGAACUGGAUCUAGGAGGACGUUGCACCCCGAUGUCUGAUCCCUACAGUGAGUCUGAACCCUUCAGAUGAAAGACAGGCCGCCUAACCUCGACUUGACUACCAGCCUCCCAGGCUACAACUUACACCAAACUAUAACAGACUAAAUUCAGAAGCCAGGGACCCAUCGCUAACACAACAUAACAACCAAAACCAAAUACCGCAACUGUGACUUGGGGAGGGACAUUUCAGCAACUUGGAUUUGGAAGGGAACCGGUGUCUCCAGAAGUCAGUGGUCCGCCCAUGGCUAACAUGAGUUCAUCCCGCGCUGUUCUCACCACUAGAUGUUGGCCUUGUCAUUUUACUAACUCAGAAACACGUUUUUCUUUUGUAACUCAUGCUAAAGGUGCUUUUAAGAUAAAAUAUAGAUUUUUUUUUUAAUGCAAUGGUGAAUGCAGAGACUUUUGCUGUCCCAGAUGCAGAAAAUAAGUAAGGGUUUAUGUAGUCCUGCCUGUCCUGAAACUUACUAUAUGGAUCAGUCUGGCCUCAAACUCACAGAGCUUCUCCUGCUUCUAUGUCAUAAGUGGUGGUUAAAGGUGAGCACCAUAUUUAAUUGGAGCGGUUCGCUUACAGUUCAGAGGUUUAGUCCAGUAUCAUCAUGGUGGGAAGCAAGGCAGCCAGGCAGACAUGGUAUUAGAGGUGAGAGUCUUUACAUCUUGAUCCUGUUUUAGUGUCAAAAGCCAUAAGCUAACACCAAGAUAUUGCAAGGCAAAAAUGUGUUAAUGGCUGGGGUCAUAUUUUCAGUCUCCCAUAGUAGGAGAAUGAAAACAGCCCAACUUAAAGGCAGAGUAAUCUUUUUAUACCAAGCAAGCAAGUGAUUAAGAGUGGAAUUUUGCAGUUGUUUUUAUGAUCACGGGAAAGGUACAUGUUAUGGGUUUAUGGUCAAAGAGUUAACAAACCACAAAAUGGUCAGUCAAUUCUCAGAACAAUGGAUACAAUUUAUGAUGUGUAAUUCACAAUGUUAUUGAGGAAAAACCACUCAAAAAAGUUAGCCUCUAGUCAAGGACAUGAUCAAAAUCUAAUAUUGUUCAAUUAAAAAGAAAAUGGAGUCAGCCAUCUUUAACAAUCCAAAGGCAACAGAAAGUGAAUGAUCUCACUUGCCAUGGCUUGCACGAAACCUCAAAGCCCACCUCCACAGUGACACCCUUCCUCUAACAAGGCCACACCUCCUAACAGUCCCACUCACUUUGGGGGCUAUUUUCUUUCAAACCACCACAUUCCAUUCCCUGGCUCCCAAAGAUUUGUAGCUAUAUCAUAAUGCAAAAAUGCAUUCAGUCCAACUUCAAAAGACCCCACAGUCCAUAACAGUUUCAACAAUGUUUAAAAGUCCGAAGUUCACAGUCUCUUCUGGGAGUCAUGCAAUCUCUUUAACUAUAAUCCCCUAUAAAAUCAAAAAACAGAUCACAUACUUCCAACAUAUAAUGACACAGGAUAUGCAUUACCACUCCAAAAUGCAGGGAAGGGAGCAUGAUGAGGAAAUACUGGACCAAAGCAUGACCAAAAACCAGCUGGAUAAACUCCAAACUGCAUUUCUAUGUCUGAUGUGAAAAGGCCAUUCAGAGCUGUAACUCCCUUCAGUUUUGUUGACUGCAACACACUUCUCUUGUGCUGGUUUCACUCCCUGUCACCAACUUUCCUCAUCAGAUAUCAGAUGGCUCUGGCAUCUCUAACAUCUUGGGGUCUCCAAAGCAAUCCAGGCUUCUCCUUUGCAGCUUCACACAAUGACCUCUCUGGGCCUCCAUCUAGGCACGCCCUUGAAACAUGCCUGGCCUCAGUGGGUUUUCUCACUUGAGAAGGAAGAUUCCACACCUUUCUAUCCUUGAAGCCAGAAUUAUGAGGCCAAAGCUGCCACGUUCUCUUGCUUACUGGAGCUGGAGCAUGGACCCUUCUUUAAAUUACAUCUUCACCAGCUUUCUGUUUUCAAUAGCUUCCUUAACUGCCUAAGGCUGGCUAUUCUGGAACUUGCUACUUAGAGCAGGCUGGCCUCAAACUCAGAGAUCUGCCUGCUUCUGCCUUCCCAGUACUGGGAUUCAAGGCAUGAAUCACCACAUCACCACUCAAGCUUUAAUUCCUUUACACAAGUUGGAAAUUUUUUUGGGUGGGAUCUUGCCCUGAGGUCACCACUCCCUUUGUUCCAUUUCUUAAUCUGCUUAUUCCCUUCAACACAGAGCUUAACUCCAUUACACUGAACUCCAUUCCUGGUAUUCCUUUUCUCCUCAAAUUGUUCUACAUUGUAUAUUUUUUUCCUUGCUCAGCUUAUUCUUUUUCAUUAUAAAUAUUCAUUACAGUUAUCACUAAUAACCACAUGACAGAGCUAUAUACUGGGCUGUUUUGAGAUUUCCUCUGCCGACAGAAUUAAUCCAAAACUCUUCCCUUUAUCCUCAGGCAGAACCUUUGGACAAGGGCAAAAAGUAACAAUUCUUCACCAAAAUAUCACAAGAACGAUGUCCAGGCUAUAUACCAAUGUUCUUCACCCAAUCCUCUUGUUCCAGGUACUCAAAGUUCAAAUCACUCAGUAUCACUGUCUUCCAUGGUCCUACAAGAAUGCCCCAUCAAUCACAACUUAAAGCGGAUAACUGCUUUUCUAAUCCACAGUCCGAAGGUCCAGAUUCCUUCUAACAAAAGCACGUCAGGCCUAUCCCACCAAUACCACAGUCCCUGGUACCAACUUUAGUCUUAGUUCAGGCUUCUAUUGCUCUUAAGAGACUCCAUGGCCAUUCAACUCCUACAAAGGAAAAUAUUUAAUAGGAAUGUCUUAUAGUUCAGAGGUUUAGUCAUGGUGGGAAGCAAAGCAGCAUGCAGGCAGACAUAGUGCUGGAGCUGAGGGUCCUUACAUUUUGAUCCAAAGGCAACAGGAAGUGGACUCAAGACACUGGGUGGUAUCUUGAGCAUAUAUGAGACUUCAAAGCCUGCCUCCACAAUGACACACUUCCUCUAACAAGACCAAGCCUACUCCAACAAAGUCACACCUCCUAAUAGUGCCACUCCCUUUGGUGGCCAUUCUCUUUCAAACCACCACAAUCACCAUGCCUGGCAUUAUGAAAUUUAGGAUAUUAAACAAGCUAAAUAUUUUAACUAUAGCUUCUCCCAGGGGGUUGGAGAUGGCUUAGUGGUUAAGAGCACUGGCUGUUCUUCCCGAGAACUGAGCUGCAAUUGCCAACACACACACAGAAGCUCACAACUGCCUAUAAUUCCACCUUCAGUGUAUCUGAUACCCUCUUUUGGCAUCCACAGGCAGGAAGCAUACAUAUAAUGUACAGACAUACAUUCAGUCAAAACACCUAGGAAUUUAAACAAAAAAAGCUUUUCACACAGGUUUGCAGAAUUUUAAUUUAAUAUAAACUCUGUGAUACUUUGCUAAGAUUUAAAACUUCUUUAAAGGCUUUUACAAGUUUCUUAUCUUUAUGUUUCUAUUAUGUAUACUGUUGUGGUUUAUAAGCAUAGAA